UUUAUGGGAAAGUUGUUUAAAUUUGAAAAGCAAAUAACAUUUUGUUUAAAAAUGUUAAAUUUAACAUUAAGGUUAAUUACUUAAGCUGCCAAAGCACAAGCACAAAGAUGCAGCUUAGUACGUCGAAGAAGUUUAAACAAAGUAAGCCAAAAAUGUCAAAGAAAUAAGAUUUAAAGAAACAAGACUUGCGCCUAAAAAUAUGAAAAUAAUGCAACCAUGCCAAGAACCAAUACGCUGAAACUAAAUCAUAUUUGUAAUAAAAGAAAAUAUGUACAAAUAUUAUUCACACAUCAAGAUUUUUCUCUACAACUUUGAAAUGAUAUAUACAUACAUAUAUACUUUCCCACAUGUGCAUUAUUAUAUGCAAGCCACUGUAUGGGAAAUCAAUUGUAUAUAGAUAAAGGUACCAGGAUUCUCAAUGUCAAGUAUUUUUAAAAAAAUAUAUGCCUGUAAUUUGUUUUUUAAUUCUUAAAACUAGGUUUGGUGUUACUUUCACAAGAAAAUGAUAACAAUAUUAACAGAGAGUAGCGAUUUUUUCAAAACUUAUUCAUAAUUCACAAUUAAAGUAAAAUAAAAA